AGCUCAUAGGUAGGAGGAGAAUAGAUUCCUGUAAGCCCUGUCUGCAAUGUGAACAAGGCCAUGUGAUGCUGGCAGCCAAGAGCAGAGCUUCAUACUGCUUGUGACUUGCAAGAGAAGCAGCUGGACCUAAAGAGCAAGAUGUCAGGUACAGUGACUUCAUAGGUGAUAAUGAAUUCCUGUGUCCCAGGUGGCAUUGCUGACCUGAAGCCUCCAUACAGAGGCAGAUGUGCUCUUCCGGAUGGGGGAGCUGAUACCUGGGCUACAUUGAGUCAUGAAUCUCACCCUCACACAAUCCCUCCCACUUUCCUUUUGCUUUCCUCCUAAAAGCAGAGGAUGUAGUGAUUUCAGUAUCCACUGGAACCACUCACUACACCACCGUAGGGCCACUGCAUUGCUCUGCUGCCCUGCACUGCUAUUCUGUAAAUGGUGAGCUCACUUUGAGAUUGCCAGAGAGCAUGGCAAUCACAGCACUAAGGGUCACAGUGCAUGACAUGGCUCUGUGAGCCUUGCACAGGUCGUUUUCUUUAACGUCCCCUCCCAAUGUCUAAAGUUGGAAUCUCUGAAUGAUUCUCUGUAGGUUUAGUGUUGCUCAGGCAUAGGCCUGUAAAUAAAACAUGGAUGAAACCC
rnacentral:lncRNA from 1 species